GACGAACGCUGGCGGCGUGCUUAACACAUGCAAGUCGAACGGAAAGGCCCUGCUUGCAGGGUACUCGAGUGGCGAACGGGUGAGUAACACGUGGGUUAUCUGCCCUGCACUUCGGGAUAAGCCUGGGAAACUGGGUCUAAUACCGGAUAGGAGCCAUUUUUAGUGUGAUGGUUGGAAAGUUUUUUCGGUGUAGGAUGAGCUCGCGGCCUAUCAGCUUGUUGGUGGGGUAAUGGCCUACCAAGGCGGCGACGGGCAGCCGGCCUGAGAGGGUGGACAGCCACAUUGGGACUGAGAUACGGCCCAGACUCCUACGGGAGGCAGCAGUGGGGAAUAUUGCACAAUGGGCGCAAGCCUGAUGCAGCGACGCCGCGUGGGGGAUGACGGCCUUCGGGUUGUAAACUCCUUUCGCUAGGGACGAAGCUUUUUGUGACGGUACCUAGAUAAGAAGCACCGGCUAACUACGUG
rnacentral:rRNA from 1 species